GCUACAUAAAGUGUGAGCUGCCUCAGCAUGCUGAGCUAACUAGCUUAUUGCUGGAACACUCCCAGGUUUUUCUUCCAAGGUUGGCCAUCUUCCUCUGGGUUCAAGUGGAGACAUCAAGAAGCAAAGCAAGCUCACUGCUUCCACCUCUGAAGUCACGUAGCACUUUGUUUGUGUCUCCACUGGAGGACCUACUUCAUCCCUGAGAGGGCGGACCGUGUCGUCUUUAUGCCUGUACCCUGAAAGACGCGGCGACCUGCCUCGCACCCAGUGAGAACUUCUAACUUGCCGAGUGCACACGUGAAUACCACCACUGCCGUCCGGGGGACGAUAAAGGAGGAGGCUCACCCUUUCCCACCAGUACCUUCACGUGAUGCAUCAAGCUGCUCCUCAGCUUGAUUUUCAAACAGCCCAACGCAGACUACUCUCCUGCCCCUCCCUGGAGACACGACACUCAAUUUUCUCCUUCCCCGUCCUCCCAAACUGUGGCAGCACUUUUUCAGAACCCUUCCGCCUAGGAUGUUCUUCUAGUUCUGACAAAGCCUGACUGUUCCUGCUAACUAAAAUGCCUGAUGAAGUGCCCAUCCUCUGAAGGCCUUUACUGAUGCCCUGGGGUUGUGGCAGCCAUCUCUACCUCCGUGCUCCCAUGGCACUUUGUUCACAGCUGGAUUUUAGCACCGCAUAGCAUUGUGCUGUAAACUCUCUGCUUGGUGUCUAUCUCCUAACCAGAUCCCUAGCUACUACUCAAGUUAUGAACUUAUCACAAAAUCUCCAUUUUCUAGAGAGAGCUGUCAACACGGAGGACAGGUUUUGAACUUCAUUGUAUAUGAAAUCAUGGUAUUACAUACUCA